GUACGUAGGCAGCGAGCGUUGUUCGGAGUUACUGGGCGUAAAGGGUGUGUAGGCGGUUGUUUAAGUUUGGUGAUGAAAUCUCCCGGCUCAACUGGGAGGGUGCGCCGAAUACUGAAUGACUUCGAGUACGGGAGAGGUGAGUGGAAUUCCUGGUGUAGCGGUGAAAUGCGUAGAUAUCAGGAGGAACACCGGUGGUGUAGACGGCUCACUGGACCGUAACUGACGCUGAGACACGAAAGCGUGGGUAGCAAACAGG
rnacentral:rRNA from 1 species